GAUCACCGUUGUUGGCUUUUUUUUCCAUCAUAGCGAAGAGUUGUCUAAUGAAACACUGAUGUUUGAUCAUGAUGUCAAAAGCCCUGCGGGUUUGGAUUCUGUGAAGUUCCUCCUAUGACUCGGCCUCCAGAAGUGCUUCUAUCCUCUAAUGCCAUGCACCACUUGGAUGAGGUGAUUGGCAAACUUUAUAAGAGAGACCUUCCAGCUGUGUUCUCUGAUGUCCAAAGAAUCCUUUCCCUUAGCCAGAUGCUGAAGACAUGCCAGCACUUUUAUUCAUGGAGCUCCAUAGCUGUAACAAAAUGAGAGGGCUAAUGAUUAAGGUAUGACU